rnacentral:lncRNA from 1 species
GAACCCGCGCCCCCGCUUCCGGUGCUGGCCCACCUUUUUGGUUUCUCCUUUUUUCUUAAAGGGAGUUUCUCCGCAGGGAAACCUCUGUUAAGUUUUGUGUUGCUCCUGCUACUCGCCUAAAGGCACUGUAGGCCGCCCUAGAGGGCAGCAUAGACUUGCAGAUUCAUUUAGCUCAACAAUGAAAACAUCCUCUGGAUUUUUCAUCUGAUGAAAAAUUGCAACCUCUCCAUCUAGUCUUGGUCAGAUUCUCUGAUCUUUCCUAUCAAGGAUUGGAUGGUACAUCGUCACCACAGCGUGAAUUAGCACUGAGAGUGAAAAACACCGUAAAAAGUGCUUGGAAUAAUUUGCUAAAAGCAGAACUCUGCCGGGCCUGUGGCUCACGCCUGUAGUCCCAGCACUUUGGGAGGCCGAGGCGGACGAGGUGAUCGAGACCAUCCUGGCCAACAUGGUGAAACCCCUUCUCUAC